rnacentral:rRNA from 1 species
GACGAACGCUGGCGGCGUGCCUAAUACAUGCCAGUCGAGCGGACGGAUGGGAGCUUGCUCCCAGACCGUCAGCGGCGGACGGGUGAGUAACACGUGGGCAACCUGCCUGUAAGACUGGGAUAACUCCGGGAAACCGGGGCUAAUACCGGAUAACUCUUUCCCUCACAUGAGGGAAAGCUGAAAGAUGGCAUCUCGCUAUCACUUACAGAUGGGCCCGCGGCGCAUUAGCUAGUUGGUGAGGUAACGGCUCACCAAGGCGACGAUGCGUAGCCGACCUGAGAGGGUGAUCGGCCACACUGGGACUGAGACACGGCCCAGACUCCUACGGGAGGCAGCAGUAGGGAAUCUUCCGCAAUGGACGAAAGUCUGACGGAGCAACGCCGCGUGAGUGAAGAAGGUUUUCGGAUCGUAAAACUCUGUUGUCAGGGAAGAACAAGUACCGGAGUAACUGCCGGUACCUUGACGGUACCUGACCAGAAAGCCACGGCUAACUACGUG